rnacentral:rRNA from 1 species
GACGAACGCUGGCGGCGUGCUUAACACAUGCAAGUCGAACGGAGUGGCGAACGGGUGAGUAACACGUGGGUGACCUGCCCUGCACUUCGGGAUAAGCCUGGGAAACUGGGUCUAAUACCGGAUAGUGUGGGAUGGGCCCGCGGCCUAUCAGCUUGUUGGUUGGGGAAUGGCCUACCAAGGGGGCGACGGGUAGCCGGCCUGAGAGGGUGGACGGCCACAUUGGGACUGAGGCACGGCGCAGACUCCUACGGGGGGCAGCAGGGGGGAGUAUGGCACAAUGGGGGGAAGCCUGAUGAAGAGACGCCGGGUGGGGGAUGACGGCUUUCGGGUUGUAAACUCCUUUAACCAUAGACGCGGUAGAUGGAGAAGAAGCACCGGCUAACUACGUGCCAGCCGCCGCGGUAAUAC